GGAGGGCCAUAGCUCAAUGGUAAAGCAUUCGCCUUGCUUGCAGAAGGUCCUGAGUUCAAUCCCCAGCAUCUCCA